AACGAACGCUGGCGGCAUGCCUAACACAUGCAAGUCGAACGAAGCCUUCGGGCUUAGUGGCGCACGGGUGCGUAACGCGUGGGAAUCUGCCCUUGGGUUCGGAAUAACAGUUAGAAAUGACUGCUAAUACCGAAUGAUGUCUUCGGACCAAAGAUUUAUCGCCCAAGGAUGAGCCCGCGUCGGAUUAGCUAGUUGGUGAGGUAAAGGCUCACCAAGGCGACGAUCCGUAGCUGGUCUGAGAGGAUGAUCAGCCACACUGGGACUGAGACACGGCCCAGACUCCUACGGGAGGCAGCAGUGGGGAAUAUUGGACAAUGGGCGAAAGCCUGAUCCAGCAAUGCCGCGUGAGUGAUGAAGGCCUUAGGGUUGUAAAGCUCUUUUUACCCGGGGAUGAUAAUGACAGUACCGGGAGAAUAAGCCCCGGCUAACUCCGUGCCAGCAGCCGCGGUAAU
rnacentral:rRNA from 1 species